GAUGAACGCUAGCUACAGGCUUAACACAUGCAAGUCGAGGGGAAACGACAUCGAAAGCUUGCUUUUGAUGGGCGUCGACCGGCGCACGGGUGAGUAACGCGUAUCCAACCUGCCCACCACUUGGGGAUAACCUUGCGAAAGUAAGACUAAUACCCAAUGAUAUCUCUAGAAGACAUCUGAAAGAGAUUAAAGAUUUAUCGGUGAUGGAUGGGGAUGCGUCUGAUUAGCUUGUUGGCGGGGUAACGGCCCACCAAGGCUACGAUCAGUAGGGGUUCUGAGAGGAAGGUCCCCCAUAUUGGAACUGAGACACGGUCCAAACUCCUACGGGAGGCAGCAGUGAGGAAUAUUGGUCAAUGGACGGGAGUCUGAACCAGCCAAGUAGCGUGCAGGAUGACGGCCCUAUGGGUUGUAAACUGCUUUUAUAAGGGAAUAAAGUGAGUCUCGUGAGACUUUUUGCAUGUACCUUAUGAAUAAGGACCGGCUAAUUCCGUGCCAGCCGCCGCAGUAA
rnacentral:rRNA from 1 species